rnacentral:rRNA from 1 species
UGGGGAAUUUUGCGCAAUGGGGGAAACCCUGACGCAGCAACGCCGCGUGGAGGAUGAAAUCCCUUGGGAUGUAAACUCCUUUCGAUCGGGACGAUUAUGACGGUACCGGAAGAAGAAGCCCCGGCUAACUUCGUGCCAGCAGCCGCGGUAAUACGAGGGGGGCAAGCGUUGUUCGGAAUUAUUGGGCGUAAAGGGUGUGUAGGCGGUUUGGUAAGUCGUGUGUGAAAUCUUCGGGCUCAACCCGAAGUCUGCACACGAAACUGCCGGGCUUGAGUAUGGGAGAGGUGAGUGGAAUUCCUGGUGUAGCGGUGAAAUGCGUAGAUAUCAGGAGGAACACCUGUGGCGAAAGCGGCUCACUGGACCAUUACUGACGCUGAAACACGAAAGCUAGGGGAGCAAACAGGAUUAGAUACCCUGGUAGUCCUAGCCCUAAACGAUGACUGCUUGGUGUGGCGGGUACCCAAUCCCGCCGUGCCGUAGCUAACGCGUUAAGCAGUCCGCCUGGGGAGUACGGUCGCAAGGCUG